rnacentral:siRNA from 1 species
AGUCGUGGCGGAGGUAGCCAUUAC